GAAGAUAAUACUUAGAAUCUUCAUAGCUUCUUCGUGUUAAUAGUGAUAUUCAUGGCCGAAUAUCAUGGUUAGUGAAUC
ncrna:unclassified sequences L13-Bacteroidia ribosomal protein leader